rnacentral:rRNA from 1 species
GAUGAACGCUAGCUACAGGCUUAACACAUGCAAGUCGAGGGGAAACGAUAGAGAAAGCUUGCUUUUUCUAGGCGUCGACCGGCGCACGGGUGAGUAACGCGUAUCCAACCUGCCCACCACUUGGGGAUAACCUUGCGAAAGUAAGACUAAUACCCAAUGACGUCUCUAGAAGACAUCUGAAAGAGAUUAAAGAUUUAUCGGUGUACGAUGGGGAUGCGUUCCAUUAGGUAGUAGGCGGGGUAACGGCCCACCUAGCCUACGAUGGAUAGGGGUUCUGAGAGGAAGGUCCCCCACAUUGGAACUGAGACACGGUCCAAACUCCUACGGGAGGCAGCAGUGAGGAAUAUUGGUCAAUGGACGAGAGUCUGAACCAGCCAAGUAGCGUGAAGGAUGAAGGUCCUACGGAUUGUAAACUUCUUUUAUAAGGGAAUAAAACCUCCCACGUGUGGGAGCUUGUAUGUACCUUAUGAAUAAGCAUCGGCUAACUCCGUG